rnacentral:misc_RNA from 1 species
GAUGAAGAACGUAGCGAAAUGCGAUACUUGGUGUGAAUUGCAGAAUCCCGCGAAUCAUCGAGUUUUUGAACGCAAGUUGCGCCCGAAGCCAUUCGGCCGAGGGCACGUCUGCCUGGGUGUCACGCAUCGUUGCCCCCCCAAACUCCGGUUCGGGCGGGGCGGAAGUUGGCCUCCCGUGCGUGCCUGCGCGCGCGGUUAGCCCAAAAGCGAGUCCACGGCGACGAGCGCCACGACAAUCGGUGGUUUUUUUACCCUCGUUCCUCGUCGUGCGUGUCCCGUCGCCCGAACGCGCUCUUGUGACCCUCACGCGUCGCCUCGGCGGCGCUCCCAACGCGACCCCAGGUCAGGCGGGACUACCCGCUGAGUUUAAGCAUAUCAAUAAGCGGAGGA